UACGGAGGAUGCAAGCGUUAUCCGGAAUGAUUGGGCGUAAAGCGUCCGCAGGUGGCUGUGUAAGUCUGCUGUCAAAGAGCAAAGCUCAACUUUGUAAAGGCAGUGGAAACUACACGGCUAGAGUGCGUUCGGGGCAGAGGGAAUUCCUGGUGUAGCGGUGAAAUGCGUGGAGAUCAGGAAGAACACCGGUGGCGAAGGCGCUCUGCUAGGCCGCAACUGACACUGAGGGACGAAAGCUAGGGGAGCGAAUGGG
rnacentral:rRNA from 1 species